GAAAAAUUGAAAAAUUAUGCAUGUGAGGAGAGAUGAAAUUUCUGCCAGCCAUGGGAAUUAAGGGUGUUAAUGUGAUCCAUUUGAAUUAAACAUGAAAUUGAACUUAAAGGAACUUGUAUGUAUGAUUAUGGAAGUGAAUUUGACAUGAAUUAAGCAAUUGAAAAAUUAGGGUUCUUGGUAAUUAGGGUUUUAGUUAAAAAUUGGGGAUUUUUUAGAAUUGAUUACCAAUUGGUGUUUUGAUGAUUAAUUUUGGUCAUUUGGUGCACAUAUAAUUGCG
rnacentral:misc_RNA from 1 species